rnacentral:rRNA from 1 species
UGACUGCGUACCUUUUGUAUAAUGGGUCAGCGACUUAUAUUCAGUGGCAAGGUUAACCACAUAGGGGAGCCGUAGCGAAAGCGAGUCUUAACUGGGCGUUUAGUCUCUGGAUAUAGACCCGAAACCGGGUGAUCUAGCCAUGGGCAGGUUGAAGGUUGAGUAACAUCAACUGGAGGACCGAACCGACUAAUGUUGAAAAAUUAGCGGAUGACUUGUGGCUAGGGGUGAAAGGCCAAUCAAACUCGGAGAUAGCUGGUUCUCCCCGAAAGCUAUUUAGGUAGCGCCUCGGACGAAUACUACUGGGGGUAGAGCACUGUUAAGGCUAGGGGGUCAUCCCGACUUACCAACCCUUUGCAAACUCCGAAUACCAGUAAGUACUAUCCGGGAGACACACGGCGGGUGCUAACGUCCGUCGUGAAGAGGGAAACAACCCAGACCGCCAGCUAAGGUCCCAAAGUAUUGCUAAGUGGGAAACGAUGUGGGAAGGCUUAGACAGCUAGGAUGUUGGCUUAGAAGCAGCCAUCAUUUAAAGAAAGCGUAAUAGCUCACUAGUCGAGUCGGCCUGCGCGGAAGAUGUAACGGGGCUAAGCAAUACACCGAAGCUGCGGCAAUGCCUUUUAGGUAUUGGGUAGGGGAGCGUUCUGUAAGCCGUUGAAGGUGAACUGUAAGGUUUGCUGGAGGUAUCAGAAGUGCGAAUGCUGACAUGAGUAACGACAAGGGGGGUGAAAAACCUCCCCGCCGGAAGACCAAGGGUUCCUGUCCAACGUUAAUCGGGGCAGGGUAAGUCGACCCCUAAGGCGAGGCUGAAGAGCGUAGUCGAUGGGAAACGGGUUAAUAUUCCCGUACUUGUUAUGAAUGCGAUGGGGGGACGGAGAAGGCUAGGUGGGCCAGGCGACGGUUGUCCUGGUUCAAGUGAGUAGGCUUGAGAGUUAGGUAAAUCCGGCUCUCUUUAAGGCUGAGACACGACGUCGAGCUGCUACGGCAGUGAAGUCAUUGAUGCCCUGCUUCCAGGAAAAGCCUCUAAGCUUCAGUUCAUAAGAAAUCGUACCCCAAACCGACACAGGUGGUCGGGUAGAGAAUACCAAGGCGCUUGAGAGAACUCGGGUGAAGGAACUAGGCAAAAUGGUACCGUAACUUCGGGAGAAGGUACGCUCUUGACGGUGAAGUCCCUUGCGGAUGGAGCUAUUGAGAGUCGCAGAUACCAGGUGGCUGCAACUGUUUAUUAAAAACACAGCACUGUGCAAAAUCGUAAGAUGACGUAUACGGUGUGACGCCUGCCCGGUGCCGGAAGGUUAAUUGAUGGGGUUAGUGGUAACACGAAGCUCUUGAUCGAAGCCCCGGUAAACGGCGGCCGUAACUAUAACGGUCCUAAGGUAGCGAAAUUCCUUGUCGGGUAAGUUCCGACCUGCACGAAUGGCGUAAUGAUGGCCACGCUGUCUCCACCCGAGACUCAGUGAAAUUGAAAUCGCUGUGAAGAUGCAGUGUACCCGCGGCUAGACGGAAAGACCCCGUGAACCUUUACUACAGCUUGGCACUGAACAUUGACCCUACAUGUGUAGGAUAGGUGGGAGACUUUGAAGCGCAGUCGCUAGAUUGCGUGGAGUCGACCUUGAAAUACCACCCUUGUAGUGUUGAUGUUCUAACUUAGACCCGUUAUCCGGGUUGAGGACAGUGCCUGGUGGGUAGUUUGACUGGGGCGGUCUCCUCCCAAAGAGUAACGGAGGAGCACGAAGGUGGGCUAAUCACGGUUGGACAUCGUGAGGUUAGUGCAAUGGCAUAAGCCCGCUUAACUGCGAGAAUGACGGUUCGAGCAGGUGCGAAAGCAGGUCAUAGUGAUCCGGUGGUUCUGAAUGGAAGGGCCAUCGCUCAACGGAUAAAAGGUACUCCGGGGAUAACAGGCUGAUACCGCCCAAGAGUUCAUAUCGACGGCGGUGUUUGGCACCUCGAUGUCGGCUCAUCACAUCCUGGGGCUGAAGUCGGUCCCAAGGGUAUGGCUGUUCGCCAUUUAAAGUGGUACGCGAGCUGGGUUUAGAACGUCGUGAGACAGUUCGGUCCCUAUCUGCCGUGGGCGUUGGAGAAUUGAAGGGGGCUGCUCCUAGUACGAGAGGACCGGAGUGGACGAACCUCUGGUGUUCGGGUUGUCACGCCAGUGGCAUUGCCCGGUAGCUAAGUUCGGAAUUGAUAAGCGCUGAAAGCAUCUAAGCGCGAAGCGAGCCCUGAGAUGAGUUCUCCCUGGCAGUUUAACUGUCCUAAAGGGUUGU